rnacentral:sRNA from 1 species
UGUUUCUUCUUGCUCU